CUUGCUGAGACGUGAUAGCGCAACGUUCUUAGGAACGCCUAGUGAGUGAUACCAUGCUUCCAGGAAAAGCCACUAAGCUUCAGUUGAAUGAAGACCGUACCGUAAACCGACACAGGUGGGUAGGAUGAGAAUUCUAAGGCGCUUGAGAGAACUCAGGAGAAGGAACUCGGCAAAAUAGCACCGUAACUUCGGGAAAAGGUGUGCCCUUUGUAUGUGUAGCGCCUCGCGCGUGAAGCAGAAUAGGGUUGCAAUGAAAUGGUGGCUGCGACUGUUUAAUAAAAACAUAGCACUCUGCAAACACGAAAGUGGACGUAUAGAGUGUGACGCCUGCCCGGUGCCGGAAGGUUAAAUGAUGGGGUGCAAGCUCUUGAUUGAAGCCCCGGUAAACGGCGGCCGUAACAAUAACGGUCCUAAGGUAGCGAAAUUCCUUGUCGGGUAAGUUCCGACCUGCACGAAUGGCGUAACGAUGGCCACACUGUCUCCUCCUGGGACUCAGCGAAGUUGAAAUGUUUGUGAAGAUGCAAUCUCCCCGCGGCUAGACGGAAAGACCCCGUGCACCUUUACUGUAGCUUUACAUUGGACUUUGAUAACAUUUGUGUAGGAUAGGUGGGAGGCUUUGAAGUGGAUUCGCCAGAAUUCAUGGAGCCAACGUUGAAAUACCACCCUGAUGUUGUUGAGGUUCUAACCUAGAUCCAUUAUCUGGAUUGGGGACCGUGUAUGGUAGGCAGUUUGACUGGGGCGGUCUCCUCCCAAAUUGUAACGGAGGAGUACGAAGGUACGCUAGGUACGGUCGGAAAUCGUGCUGAUAGUGCAAUGGCAAAAGCGUGCUUGACUGCGAGACUGACAAGUCGAGCAGAUGCGAAAGCAGGUCAUAGUGAUCCGGUGGUCCUGUAUGGAAGGGCCAUCGCUCAACGGAUAAAAGGUACGCCGGGGAUAACAGGCUGAUUCCUCCCAAGAGUUCAUAUCGACGGGGGAGUUUGGCACCUCGAUGUCGGCUCAUCACAUCCUGGGGCUGUAGCCGGUCCCAAGGGUAUGGCUGUUCGCCAUUUAAAGUGGUACGUGAGCUGGGUUUAAAACGUCGUGAGACAGUUUGGUCCCUAUCUGCCGUGGGCGUUGGAAGUUUGAGUGGACCUGCUCCUAGUACGAGAGGACCGGAGUGGACGCACCUCUGGUGUACCGGUUAUGACGCCAGUCGUAUCGCCGGGUAGCUAUGUGCGGAGGAGAUAACCGCUGAAAGCAUCUAAGCGGGAAACUCUCCUCAAGAUGAGACUUCCCGAGGGUUUAACCCUCCUAAAGGUUCGUCGAAGACUACGACGUUGAUAGGUCGGGU
rnacentral:rRNA from 1 species